rnacentral:rRNA from 1 species
GUGAGGUAACGGCCCACCAAGGCGACGACGGGUAGCUGGUCUGAGAGGACGACCAGCCACACUGGGACUGAGACACGGCCCAGACUCCUACGGGAGGCAGCAGUGGGGAAUCUUGCUCAAUGGGCGAAAGCCUGAAGCAGCGACGCCGCGUGCGGGAUGAAGGCCUUCGGGUUGUAAACCGCUUUCAGCAGGGACGAAAUUGACGGUACCUGCAGAAGAAGCACCGGCCAACUACGUGCCAGCAGCCGCGGUAAUACGUAGGGUGCAAGCGUUGUCCGGAAUUAUUGGGCGUAAAGAGCUCGUAGGCGGCUUGUUGCGUCGGCUGUGAAAACCCGCGGCUCAACCGUGGGCUUGCAGCCGAUACGGGCAGGCUAGAAUUCGGUAGGGGAGACUGGAAUUCCUGGUGUAGCGGUGAAAUGCGCAGAUAUCAGGAGGAACACCGGUGGCGAAGGCGGGUCUCUGGGCCGAUAUUGACGCUGAGGAGCGAAAGCGUGGGGAGCGAACAGGAUUAGAUACCCUGGUAGUCCACGCUGUAAACGUUGGGCGCUAGGUGUGGGGGACCUCUCCGGUUCUCUGUGCCGCAGCUAACGCAUUAAGCG